rnacentral:rRNA from 1 species
UACAGAGGGUGCGAGCGUUGUUCGGAAUUACUGGGCGUAAAGCGCACGUAGGCGGACUCUUAAGUCGGUGGUGAAAUCCUGGAGCUCAACUCCAGAACUGCCUUUGAUACUGGGAGUCUUGAGUUCGGGAGAGGUGAGUGGAACUGCGAGUGUAGAGGUGAAAUUCGUAGAUAUUCGCAAGAACACCAGUGGCGAAGGCGGCUCACUGGCCCGAUACUGACGCUGAGGUGCGAAAGCGUGGGGAGCAAACAGG